rnacentral:rRNA from 1 species
UACGAAGGGUGCAAACGUUGCUCGGAACUAUUGGGCGUAAAGCGCACGUAGGCGGCUUAGCAAGUCCCAUGUGAAAGCCCACGGCUCAACCGUGGAAGUGCAUGGGAAACUGCUGAGCUUGAGUACUUAAGAGGAUCGCGGAAUUCCGGGUGUAGUGGUGAAAUGCGUAGAGAUCCGGAGGAACACCAGUGGCGAAGGCGACACGCUGGGCCAUACCUGACGCUAAAGCGCGACAGCAUGGGGAGCAAACGGG